rnacentral:tRNA from 1 species
CCUGGUGGCUCAGAUGGUAAAGCAUCUGCCUAAAAUGCGGGGGACCCAGGUUCAAUCCCUGGGUCAGGA